rnacentral:rRNA from 1 species
UGGGGAAUAUUGCGCAAUGGGCGAAAGCCUGACGCAGCGACGCCGCGUGGGUGAUGAAGGCCUUCGGGUCGUAAAGCCCUGUCGGGAGGGACGAAACCUCGGUGACCUAAUGCGUCACCGACCUGACGGUACCUCUUAAGGAAGCACCGGCUAACUCCGUGCCAGCAGCCGCGGUAAUACGGAGGGUGCGAGCGUUGUUCGGAAUUACUGGGCGUAAAGCGCGUGCAGGCGGUCUCUUAAGUCUGGUGUGAAAGCCCGGGGCUCACCCCCGGAAGGGCACUGGAGACUGGGAGGCUAGAGUACCGGAGAGGAAGGUGGAAUUCCUGGUGUAGCGGUGAAAUGCGUAGAUAUCAGGAGGAACACCGGUGGCGAAGGCGGCCUUCUGGACGGCUACUGACGCUGAGACGCGAAAGCGUGGGGAGCAAACA